UGGCCUCCGAGUCCGGCACACCGCCAGCGGGGCCCGGUUGCUGGAGUGUCCUGGUGCCAACACCAGUGCGGCCGCGGACAAGCUAGCAACCCGGCUCCGUGAAAUCCUGCCGGACCCAGAAGUGG